rnacentral:tRNA from 1 species
GGCCGCUUAGCUUAAAUGGAAGAGCAUAAUACUUCUAAUAUUACUAUUCAGGUUCGAUCCCUGAAGCGGUCA